AGGUGCUGCAUGGCUGUCGUCAGCUCGUGUCGUGAGAUGUUGGGUUAAGUCCCGCAACGAGCGCAACCCUUGUCAUUAGUUGCUGCAUUUAGUUGGGCACUCUAAUGAGACUGCCGGUGACAAACCGGAGGAAGGUGGGGAUGACGUCAAGUCCUCAUGGCCCUUAUAGGUGGGGCUACACACGUCAUACAAUGGCCGGUACAAAGGGCUGCCAACCCGCGAGGGGGAGCUAAUCCCAUAAAACCGGUCGUAGUCCGGAUCGUAGUCUGCAACUCGACUACGUGAAGUCGGAAUCGCUAGUAAUCGUGGAUCAGAAUGUCACGGUGAAUACGUUCCCGGGUCUUG
rnacentral:rRNA from 1 species